CUGUCACCACUUCCGUCCUGAGUGUGCAGGUGUCCUGAGCAUUUGGGGAGAAGAUGCAUAGGUGGGUGGCAGUGUUAGGAGUUAGGCAGGAGCAUGCAGGAGGGCUCUUAUUAGGGAGAAGCAAAAACCAAUUGCUUCUGUUCUUAAUGGGGCUAGGGGGGUUCUCACUGGUUACGACAGAAAUAAACCAGCUUAAAAUCUCUCCCUCACCCGCAGACAGCGAGCAUCGGAGUGACUUACCCUCACAUUGGGCAAGAACCCGGCAGCUGUACCUAAAUGACAGAGCAAAAGCAUCUUUCACGCAUCUGCAGUCAUAGCCGCAGGCUGCUGGGUCAGAGGGUUUACAGCACCCCAGGGGACUCUUCUCAUAAUGAAACUGCUUCAAGGAAGAAUUCACUCAGUUUCGCCCACAACCUAAACAUGACUCGGAUGCUUAGGGGCUCCUCGAAUGUCUGACCUGCAUGCCUCUCCUUCUUCCACUUGCCGUGCUGUGUGCUGUGCCUGCCCAGCUGAAUGGCAAAACGUCAUUGCUCUCCACAGUUCCAAUGCACUGGAGCAUGAUGGAGUAUCUGGUCCCACAAAGGUGGAGCUCUGUGGACACCGUGCACACUUGAAGUUUAUUUGGAUGCUUAAAUAACACAGACAUGGAGAGAAAAAGGAGUGUAUGAUGAGCAACCUUCAAGAAAGGCGGGGAAUGGACAGAAGGAAGAGGCAGCAGUUUCAAGCAUCCUAUAGCUCAAGCAUGCUGAUGUCAUGAUCCUAUAUAGGUUCAUAGGUGUGGAAACUGAGUCAGAGGGUCACCCUAUGAAUUGUUCAAACUGGCAUGGUUAAAAACAAACAAUGCGAA